ACAACCAUAUCAUGUUGAAGCACCAGUUCUCAUACAAUCACCAAAGUUAAGCAGUGUUGCGUUUGAUCAGUAUCUUGAUGGGUGACCACUUGGGAGUACCAGGUACUGUGA